GUUGAGAAAAACUAUACACAAAAACUACAUAAAAGCAAAAAGCUAAAACCUCAUAUCAACUUGUCAUAAGAACUUAAGUACACCCACAAAAGAAAAAAGACCUUUGUUAGGCUCAUGGCUUUUGAGCAUUAGCCCUAACCCAGCAAGACUGCAGUUAAACGGACUGAACUGCUGAAGAGCAUACAAAUAACCAAAAUUAGUUCACAAGCCAAUUGGAAUCUCCCAUUUCCUGUUUGUGUAUGAUGACAAAUAUCUGGUAAUUACAUGUAUAAAUAAAUACAUUUCAAUGUAUUUAAUUAAUUUUAAUAUGUGUGACAACACAGUGUGAUUAUUUCAGUAAUAGCUGUAAAUGAUGUCAGUUUGCACACUGAAAAUGCCAAAGUCUCAGGCUAGUCUCUGCUCCAUUCAAGAAAACCUGGCUGCAGACAAGAUGGCAGGCGCCAACCAUGAUGGUCAUCCGUAUACAGGAAGUCACGUAACAGCCAACAACAGGAACUGAAUGUCAGGACAAGUAACGAGGAAGCCGUUUCCCAGCUACCAGCUUGGAACAGUUGUGGAGUCUGUGCACAUCACCAAGCGGCGGAGAGUCAUCUGGCUUCUGGAGAAGAGUAACCAGAUGUGGCAAGAGAGUCAUGGAGUUGAACCACUCAAGUCCCACAUGAAAUGAUCUACGUUGAUGAGGCUGGCUUUAACUUGGCAAAAAAGGCAACGGCGCGGAAGAAACAUAAUUGGCAAAAGGGCCACAGUUACCGUGCCGGGCCAGAGGGGAACCAUCAUCACUUUGUGGGCCGCAAUCUCCAGUAAAGGUCCACUCUUGUAUAAAUGUGAGACUGGCCCCUACAGCACCGACUGCCUUCUCCUGUUUUUAGACGACCUGUAUGAAAGACAGGUGGGAGAUCACUUGCCAAUAUAUGUGAUCACAUGGGACAAUGUGGCAUUCCACCAUUCCUGUGCAGUCACAACCUAGUUUGACGCCCAUGCGAGGAUGAUGUCCCUUACUCCCCUUUCCUCAACCCCACUGAGGAGUUUUUCUCAGCCUGGAGAUGGAGGGUUUUUGACCAUUGUCCACAGGACCAAAUGUCCGUCUUAGAUGCAAUGGAUGCUGCAUGCCAAGACAUCACAGCACUGAACCAUAGACAGUAUUUUACUGGACGAAGCCACCCCGCCGAUUUGAAUGGAGAGCAGUGAAGCCAAUUUUUGACCAAUAAAAUACAACUACAGGGCUUCUUCCUGUCGGCACAGGCGUCUUCUGUACAUGAUCGCGCAGCAAAACCGUGGUUUAAUGACGUAGAGCAGCAGCAGAAACACUGUAAUUCUGGUAGCUGCAUAGCUGCACAAACAAAAGUCUCUUGGCUCAGUGUGUUUGUGUGACUCAGAUGGUCUCUGUUUAAUCAGCCCACCUACGAGGCUCAUCUACCAAACACCAGCAGCGUCACUGAUGGCACGAGUAGUUGUUUUAGAUUCACUCAAAGUUCAUAAUCUAAGCAAUACGGUUACAUCUCGCAUGUCCGACGGGAUGUCACGGGGUUUUGACGUAAUUUUUGGGCCUACACGGAACCGUCCAUGCAUCACUGUUUGAACUGUGGCUUACCGCCUUGCACUGGAUAAGGUGGAUAAGGCAUGCAAAAAGAUUCUUCCCUAGAUGCCUUACCAGAGAAGAUAUCAGGUGUGAUGUGGAUGAGAACAUGUGGCCAAAUGCAGAAGACUGGGCAGAUUAGAAGAUGACUUUUUUGUUUGUUAAUUGUUUUGUGUUUUUUUUUCUGUUUGAAUAUUUUGUAUUUUCACAUUAAUAAUAUAUAUUUUUGUCCUGUUGCAAAUAGAGCCUUUACUGCAACAAUUCUGUCUCUGUCAUCUUUUUUGUUAAUAAA